AAAGUUUUAAGUUAAGUUAAACUAUUAACCUUCAAAGUUAAAAAUAAAAAUAAUUUUUAAACUUUA
rnacentral:tRNA from 1 species